CGCGAGGCGGAAGCAGCGCCGCGCACCGGGGAGCUCGCGCCAGCCCCGCCCCGGCUUAUUUCCCCAAGUGCGAGCCCUGAAGCUUUCCGCAGGUUAGGUGCUGAAGAACUCUGAAAGGACGAAGGACCACCGGAGAGAUUUGGGGCCGAGGCAGUAACAUGCUGGACCAGCAGGUGGUGCUGCUGAGAAACCCAACUUCGAGACCCAGAAGAAACCCUUGGGUGCCUAACUGGAUGUGGGGGUGAUGAGUUCUUGGCAAAACUGCUUGUUCUUUUUCCAAAAAUAAAUAAAUAAUUUUUUUAAAAA